rnacentral:rRNA from 1 species
CCUACGGGUGGCUGCAGUGGGGAAUAUUGGACAAUGGGGGGAACCCUGAUCCAGCCAUGCCGCGUGUGUGAAGAAGGCCCUCGGGUUGUAAAGCACUUUCAGUGAGGAAGAACGCCUGGUGGUUAAUACCCAUCAGGAAAGACAUCACUCACAGAAGAAGCACCGGCUAACUCCGUGCCAGCAGCCGCGGUAAUACGGAGGGUGCGAGCGUUAAUCGGAAUUACUGGGCGUAAAGCGCGCGUAGGUGGCUUGAUAAGCCGGUUGUGAAAGCCCCGGGCUCAACCUGGGAACGGCAUCCGGAACUGUCAAGCUAGAGUGCAGGAGAGGAAGGUAGAAUUCCCGGUGUAGCAGUGAAAUGCGUAGAGAUCGGGAGGAAUACCAGUGGCGAAGGCGGCCUUCUGGACUGACACUGACACUGAGGUGCGAAAGCGUGGGUAGCAAACAGGAUUAGAUACCCGAGUAGUC